rnacentral:tRNA from 1 species
CAAAAAGUAGCUUACAACCAUCAAAGCAUCCGCCUUACAAGCGGAAAACGUUAUACUAACCUUUUUGA